UACGGAGGAUGCAAGCGUUAUCCGGAAUGAUUGGGCGUAAAGGGUCCGCAGGUGGCAGUGUAAGUCUGCUGUCAAAGAAUGAGGCUUAACCUUAUCAAGGCAGUGGAAACUACACAGCUAGAGUACGGUCGGGGUAGAAGGAAUUCCUGGUGUAGCGGUGAAAUGCGUAGAGAUCAGGAAGAACACCGGUGGCGAAAGCGUUCUGCUAGACCUGUACUGACACUGAGGGACGAAAGCUGGGGGAGCGAAUGGG
rnacentral:rRNA from 1 species